UAGACUUGCAGUGGGGAUAAAUUGGUAAAAUAGGAAGAAUACUUUAUGAUCUUCAGAAGCGAAAAAGGUGUUAACGCUCAGAGCCAGCUUUUUAAAUUACUGUAAGAAUGCACUGGAGGCAGAAAACACUUAAUUUCGACUCUAGGUCUUAUAUUAGGAAUUAUCCAAUGAGCAGUAGACUUGAUAAAACCAGACAUGUUUUGUUACUUUAGGGAAUGAGCAACAAAUCAUGUACCACCUUCGUGUGCCCAUUUUGGAAAAGGUGCUUUGCUUCUUUGAUUUAAUCAAAGUUGUUAACAUUGGGCCCAGUCUAUGGGCUUCUGAUGAUGCCUGUAAACGGUUUCCAGGAGGGAAAAGGAGGAAGCCCCUUGGGUCAAUAGGGUUAACAAGUUGGACAUAUCAUCUGGAAAAGAAAAAAAUUUGGUCAACCGCUUCAAAAAACACUUAUGGGAGUGGUUCCAUGAUUUUCUCACCCACAUAUGUUCCUGCUAUAGUUGUCUGUUCAGCUUCUCUGCUUCCAAUAGAGUGAAGAAGGAAAGUUUCAGAGCUGGGGAAAUCAGAAAUCUUUGUCUGUUUCCCACACUUAAAUCCCUGAACACUUGAACACCUGAGCUAUGGCCUCUUGGAGUUUUACAUGUUUCUGAGAAGGAAUCAGAACUGGGGUAAGCUAAAUUGGCACAUCUGGCAGGAGGAACAAGGAGGACUGGCUGCUGCUGUUCCUGGAUCCAGGGAGGGGAGAACCGGUGCAUGUGUCAUCAUGGCCUGGGGCUGGUGUGUGGACCAGGAAUGGAUCAUCAAUAGAGGAGGAAACCCGGGGCUGGCCAUUAGGAGUGUGGUUCUUGUAUCCUCUUAACCCCAGAAAGAUGAGUUAACUGAAGCAUGAGCAGUGGAGUUAAGUUAUCUUCAGUUAUGAAGCCAGCCAGAGGGACAAAGACCAACCAGAAUCCCAGAGAAGCUGACCCACAGCAGGUGGA